rnacentral:rRNA from 1 species
AACGAGAAAGGGGAGCAAUCCCUGAGUACAGUGGCGACCGGGUGAGUAACACGUGACUACCUACCCUUGAGUGGGGGAUAACCUCGGGAAACCGAGGCUAAUACCGCAUAAUAUCGAGAGAUCAAAGGAGCAAUCCGCUCUUGGAGGGGGUCGCGGCUGAUUAGCUAGUUGGUGAGGUAAUGGCUCACCAAGGCGAAGAUCGGUAUCCGGCCUGAGAGGGCGCACGGACACACUGGCACUGAAACACGGGCCAGACUCCUACGGGAGGCAGCAGUGGGGAAUCUUGCACAAUGGGGGCAACCCUGAUGCAGCGACGCCGCGUGAGCGAUGAAGCCUUUCGGGGUGUAAAGCUCUUUCGACAGGAACGAUAAUGACGGUACCUGGAGAAGAAGCUGCGGCUAACUACGUGCCAGCAGCCGCGGUAAUACGUAGGCAGCAAGCGUUGUUCGGAGUUACUGGGCGUAAAGAGUGCGUAGGCGGUCCUAUAAGUUCCGUGUGAAAUCUCCCGGCUCAACUGGGAGGGUGCGCGGAAGACUGUAGGGCUUGAGUGUGGGAGAGGUAAGCGGAAUUCCUGGUGUAGCGGUGAAAUGCGUAGAUAUCAGGAGGAACACCUGUGGUGUAGACAGCUUACUGGACCAUAACUGACGCUGAGGCACGAAAGCGUGGGUAGCAAACAGGAUUAGAUACCCUGGUAGUCCACGCCCUAAACGAUGCAUACUUGGUGUGAGCCAUUCAUUUGGUUCGUGCCGGAGCUAAC